rnacentral:rRNA from 1 species
CCUACGGGGGGCAGCAGUGGGGAAUAUUGGACAAUGGGGGGAACCCUGAUCCAGCCAUGCCGCGUGUGUGAAGAAGGCCCUCGGGUUGUAAAGCACUUUCAGUGAGGAAGAACGCCUGGUGGUUAAUACCCAUCAGGAAAGACAUCACUCACAGAAGAAGCACCGGCUAACUCCGUGCCAGCAACCGCGGUAAUACGGAGGGUGCGAGCGUUAAUCGGAAUUACUGGGCGUAAAGCGCGCGUAGGUGGCUUGAUAAGCCGGUUGUGAAAGCCCCGGGCUCAACCUGGGAACGGCAUCCGGAACUGUCAAGCUAGAGUGCAGGAGAGGAAGGUAGAAUUCCCGGUGUAGCGGUGAAAUGCGUAGAGAUCGGGAGGAAUACCAGUGGCGAAGGCGGCCUUCUGGACUGACACUGACACUGAGGUGCGAAAGCGUGGGUAGCAAACAGGAUUAGAUACCCGAGUAGUC